UGGCGANGGGUGAGUAACACGUGAGUAACCUGCCCUUAACUCUGGGAUAAGCCUGGGAAACUGGGUCUAAUACCGGAUAUGACUCCUCAUCGCAUGGUGGGGGGUGGAAAGCUUUUUGUGGUUUUGGAUGGACUCGCGGCCUAUCAGCUUGUUGGUGAGGUAAUGGCUCACCAAGGCGACGACGGGUAGCCGGCCUGAGAGGGUGACCGGCCACACUGGGACUGAGACACGGCCCAGACUCCUACGGGAGGCAGCAGUGGGGAAUAUUGCACAAUGGGCGAAAGCCUGAUGCAGCGACGCCGCGUGAGGGAUGACGGCCUUCGGGUUGUAAACCUCUUUCAGUAGGGAAGAAGCGAAAGUGACGGUACCUGCAGAAGAAGCGCCGGCUAACUACGUGCCAGCAGCCGCGGUAAUACGUAGGGCGCAAGCGUUAUCCGGAAUUAUUGGGCGUAAAGAGCUCGUAGGCGGUUUGUCGCGUCUGCCGUGAAAGUCCGGGGCUCAACUCCGGAUCUGCGGUGGGUACGGGCAGACUAGAGUGAUGUAGGGGAGACUGGAAUUCCUGGUGUAGCGGUGAAAUGCGCAGAUAUCAGGAGGAACACCGAUGGCGAAGGCAGGUCUCUGGGCAUUAACUGACGCUGAGGAGCGAAAGCAUGGGGAGCGAACAGGAUUAGAUACCCUGGUAGUCCAUGCCGUAAACGUUGGGCACUNGGUGUGGGGGACAUUCCACGUUUUCCGCGCCGUAGCUAACGCAUUNAGNGCCCCNNNNGGGNNNANNNNCANNNUAAAACUCAAAGAANUGACGGGGGGCCCGC
rnacentral:rRNA from 1 species